rnacentral:rRNA from 1 species
UACGUAGGGUGCAAGCGUUAAUCGGAAUUACUGGGCGUAAAGCGUGCGCAGGCGGUUUUGUAAGUCUGACGUGAAAUCCCCGGGCUCAACCUGGGAAUUGCGUUGGAGACUGCAAGGCUAGAAUCUGGCAGAGGGGGGUAGAAUUCCACGUGUGAGCAGUGAAAUGCGUAGAGAUGUGGAGGAACACCGAUGGCGAAGGCAGCCCCCUGGGUCAAGAUUGACGCUGAGGCGCGAAAGCCAGGGGAGCAAACGGG